GGGCUGGUAGCGCAGUGGAAGCGCACUCCCUUGGCAUGGGAGAGGCCGUGGGUUCAAAUCCCACCCAGUCCACCA
rnacentral:tRNA from 1 species